rnacentral:rRNA from 1 species
UACGUAGGGCGCAAGCGUUGUCCGGAAUUAUUGGGCGUAAAGAGCUCGUAGGCGGUUUGUCGCGUCUGCUGUGAAAAUCCGGGGCUCAACCUCGGACUUGCAGUGGGUACGGGCAGACUAGAGUGUGGUAGGGGAGACUGGAAUUCCUGGUGUAGCGGUGGAAUGCGCAGAUAUCAGGAGGAACACCGAUGGCGAAGGCAGGUCUCUGGGCAACAACUGACGCUGAGGAGCGAAAGCGUGGGGAGCGAACAGG